rfam:Gongylonema pulchrum genome assembly, scaffold: GPTH_scaffold0001366
GCAGUCAUGUCCGAGUGGUUAAGGAGUUUGAUUAGAAAUCAAAUGGGCUCUGCCCGCGCAGGUUCGAAUCCUGCUGACUGCG